GGAUCGGUAGCUUAGUUGGUAGAGCGCCUGCUUUACACGCAGGAGGUCACAGGUUCAAGUCCUGUCCGGUCCACCA
rnacentral:tRNA from 1 species